rnacentral:rRNA from 1 species
GACGAACGCUGGCGGCGUGCCUAAUACAUGCAAGUCGAACGGAAAGGCCCUGCUCUUGUGGGGUGCUCGAGUGGCGAACGGGUGAGUAACACGUGAGUAACAUGCACUUGAAAUUGGGAUAAAACUAGGGAACAGGGGCGCAUAUCGGGUAGGAGCUCCUGAUGCACGGGGGGGGAUGGUAAGAUUCGGCGGUUGGGGAUGGACUCGCGGCUUAUCAGCUUGUUGGUCGGGUAGUGGCUUACCAAGGCUUUGACGGGUAGCCGGCCUGAGAGGGUGACCGGCCACAUUGGGACUGAGAGACGGCCCAGACGCCUACGGGAGGCAGCAGUGGAGAAUAUUGCACAAUGGGCGGAAGCCUGAUACAGCAACGCCGCGUGCGGGAUGCCGGCCUUCGGGUUGUAAACCGCUUUCGCCUGUAACGAAGCGUGAGUGACGGUAAUGGGUAAAGAAGCACCGGCUAACUACGUG